GGGUCAAGUCUGAGGCAAUGAUCACCGAAAGGAUAUCAUUGGGUUUAAGGAAAAAUACUUGAGUGUGACCGGAGGUGGUUUCACUUCUAGCAUAGGAGCGGUUUCCAAAGAGGGCACUACUGGAGUGGCUGAUAAAUCAGGUAAAGGCUCAUACUUAAUGGUCCAUGGGGGCAGGGCAUUUUAGAGAGGGGUGUGUCUAAUAAGGUUCUUACUUCAUUAACGUCCCCUUCUAAAUUAAAGUCAUCUACCCCAAACUGAGCCAAACAAGCUUGCAAUGGAUCUUGAUAUAGGGUUGCGACCGACACUUCUCCUACCAAGUUCUCUAGUAUAUCUAUUUCGAAAGUCAUUGGUUUGAGGUCCUUGAGAAGCAUUGAAUAUGUUCAAUCUCAACUUCUUGUUUCCAAAUGAAACGUCCAUGACACCCAUCCUAUAAUUGAUGCAUGUGUUUGCUGUAGCUAGGAAGGGUCGUCCUAAAAUUAUGGAAAUUUUCCUCGAUGUAUCAAAAUAUUCCAUAUCAAAGACUAGAAAGUCAACUGGAAAGUAAAAUUCAUCUACCUUAAUGAGUACAUCCUCCAACAUGCCACGCGGUACCUUGACAGAUCUAUCAGCUAAUUGCAAGGUAACCGUCGUGGGUUUAAGCUCGCCAAACCCGAAGAGUUCGUAUACUGAGCUAGGCAAGAGAUUUACACUUGCUCCCAAGUCUAGCAAAGCUUUCUCUAUAUAUAGGUCCCUAACAACACGAGAUAAGCGGGGCACCUGGGUCCUUAAGCUUGGGAGGGGUAGUGUGUUGAAAUACCGAGCUUGCUUGCUCGAUGAGACAAACUUUCUUAAAGAUUUGUGA
rnacentral:lncRNA from 1 species